UUGGAGUUAAAGUGUUACAUCUUUUCCACUGUUUGGACACAGAGACAAGCAUAACUGAUCUCUGAGGUAGCUCUUCGGUUCAUAACACGGGACUGUUUAAAAUAAUUAUGUUCAAACUUUGAUCUGCCGGAAAUCUACACGAGAAUAAAGAGGACUUUUAUUUUGGUGUGGCUACAUGACGUCACACGCCGUCUGUUGUUGUUUGAUGCAAACUGUUCAGAUUUAAGUAUAGUUUUUUUUUACAAGAACUGUAAAUUGAAUGAAUUUAUAUGGCGUGUAACAUGAUAACACUUUAUCCAACAUUAGUGUUAUUUUUAUGAGUAAAGCGGAUCCACGCGCGAGUAACAGAUGCUUAUUAUCAUCGUGAAUCAGUUUAUCAUUAACAGUUACCCAGUCGCUGGCCAGAAGUGAUGAGAGAAACGGAGCUUUAAAACUCAACCGAACCGAUCGAAUCAGUCUGUCACAACAGUGUAAACACAACGAAACAUUCCCGCUGAAGCGACUGAGAUCCACGUGACGCUUCCUAUAAAGAUGGCCUUUAUUAAACAGGAGAGUGAAGACAUAAAGAUUUUCGAAGUAUUCAGCAUGAAACAAGAAGAUGCUGAGGAACAAACAGAACUGAUAACACUGAAAGAGGAAAAAGAAGAACUGAAAGAAAUAGAAGAGAAAAAUCACAAUGAGAGACGUGAUUUCAUACACACUGAAACAAAUUCGGUUCGGAAGACUAAAUCUAUAAGAAACUUCCCUUGCCAUCAAUGUGGAAGGAUUUUCACACUAAAAGGAAACCUUAAUUUACACAUGAGAAUUCACACUGGAGAGAGGCCUUUCACAUGUCAACAGUGUGGAAAAAGCUUUGUUAAAAAAGGAAACCUUGAUGAACACAUGCAUGUUCACACUGGAGAGAAGUCUUUCAUCUGCAAACUGUGUGGAGAUAGUUUCUUACGAGCAGGACAUCUUACGAUACACUUGAGAAUUCACACUGGAGAGAAGCUCUUCAAACGAGAGUUUCAGUCAUAAAACACAUGAAAAGUCACACAGAUGUGACUACUCUGGACCACUGCUGCCAUGUUGUUUCAGUUUACACCAGAGGUCCUUCAAACUCGAUCUCGUUGUAGCAGCACUUCGCACAGAAAAUCAAGAAAUAAAAGAGAAAAUUUCAUGGCUGCAGAAAAAUCCAUACCGGUGAUACAAAGAAGACCAAAUCCAACAGUUAGGCUACUUCACCUGCCAUCAACGUGGACAGAGUUUCAACAUCAUUUUUGUGAACACAUUCUGGAAAGAAACUGCAGUACUCAGAGAGUGGAAAGAGGAUUAAAAAUAGGAGUCAUUUAAAAAGUAGCCCAUGCAUUCACUCGGGAGGAAGGCAAUUUAAUUGUUUAAUUUCUUUUGCCGUCACACUUAAAGCCAAUCCACACCGCACCGACAGAUGCAGACCAAUGUCGACAGCCAACAGAGUACAGUACGUCCCUUCUCAGACAAACAGUGAUUCAACAUGUUCAGUCAGCGAAAUCUGUGAAAUUAAAGUUACGUUCACACUAAAGCUGAAUGUGGCCCAAAUCUGAUUGUCCACCUUCAUAAUCUGCAUUCUUUGCCUCUUUAUAAUUUUGACUUUUUUUGGCUUUUUAUUUUUUGUCUUGUACAUAAGAACUUCUGUGAUUGCACAAGACCAUCUGCUUUGCUAUAAUUCAGUUGUUCUCAAACUCUUUUUUUUCCCAAGACACCUUUGUGACUACAAAAUUAAUCUUUUAAACUUUGCAGAUUUUUACAUUUUCAAACCCUGAAAAAGCUAAUAUACAAAAAAGCUUAAUUAAACUUUUGUGACUUCUGUCUUUCUUAGACAAAUGCAGCAAUGUAAAUGA